UGUAAAUCACUUAAUCGUGAACAAGAAAGGACUACAUUUAAAUAAUUGCUGAAAAGCGUAAGUUUAGCUUUACAGCUUGCACGUUUCUUAACUAAUUCUUUAAGUUUAGAGUCCAUUAUUCAAAUAAAUAAUAAUUACGUUAAUUCGUAACUAAUGAGCAAGCACUGCGUUGAAUAAAUUGCAAAGCGACAGAUGUUGACCUUGAGUGAAUUAGCGGUCAAGCUAACACGUAUCCGUGUAAACAGGUUUCUUAUUUUUGCCUGCUACUAAUUAUGCAGCGAUGCACCUACAAUAAUAGGCUUGAGCGAUAACCAGGCUUGAAAUAUGUGCAACGAAAUGAAUGCGAUGACUAAUAAAUAUGGGGAAAAAAAAUGGAACAGAUUUAAAUGGCCAACAAAGCGGGAAGAAUUUAAGAAGUGAUAAAGGGCAAUGAUUAAUUGGAACGACACACUAUUUACCGAUCCGUAGCCACAGUUAUCCGUUCUCGUCGAUAUAUUUCUUGGAGACGUGUGCGCCACGUUGGUUUUUUCCUGCGCUGCAAAAUCGCCACGCACGCGUCACUGCACGCCUGCCUCCGUUGUUUUUUCUUUCUUGCGAAGGACCACUUUGUUAGGGAGAAUUCUUGGGCUGUAGAAAUGACUGAGGCUGUUUCCGAAAUAUAGGUACUGGUUUAUUCCAACGGAUGAUUUGUAACAAAUUAUAUAAUUAAACGGCGCGCGACGCGUACAAUUUUCACAGCUGAUCGGUAAGGUGUGUGAGCGGCCCGCGAUCCUCGUACGUGGCUGCCCCCCGCGCCGCGCUGUCCCCCCUCCGAUGCCAUCGCCGGUGGCGCCUCCAUCGACGUCGUUCCUAUGUUCUAGAGGUUUCCGAACAACGCUUUUGCAUUUAGAAGCUAGUGAACCCAAACCACUUUCUAAUCCUCUGCCUUCUGCACUUCUUUCUGUAUCGCCAACUACUUCAGAUGUUGCGCUUUCAGCUAAUUCUAUGCAGCUUGCUACUUCUUCGCAUGUUUUCCUGUCCACAGCUUUGGUGAACGUGACCAGUGCGACGGGUAAGAAGUUCACUGCGCGCCUACUGCUGGACAACGGCAGUACGGCCAACUUUAUCACGCAGAGUUUAGCGGAGCAACUGGGUUUGUCACAACGCGGUAUGAGCACCAAGGUAACGGGUAUUAACAAUCAUGUUUCCACCAGUACACAGUCUUGUCACCUUUCUAUAGAGUCUUUAUGCUGUGCCUUUACUGUAGACAUCGAUUGCCACGUUCUACCUGAGAUCACAAAGGUCCUACCAUCUUCGUUUGUAAAUGUUAAACAUUUAUCCAUACCUUCAGGCCUUACAUUGGCAGACCCGAACUUUAACGUUCCGUCGGCUGUCGACAUUCUAGUAGGGGCUGAAGUAUUUUGGAAUGUCAUAGGGUCAAACACGAUAGACUUAGGAAAAAAUCUACCUAAAUUGUGCGAAACUAAAUUUGGAUGGCUUGUAUCUGGUAGUAUUUCGCAUCAAUCUAGUUUUCUUUCCUCUGCGUCUACUCACUUUUGCCAUCAUUCCAGCGUCACUCCCGACUUAACUCAAUUUUGGGAGCUUGACCAAGUCUCAUCUAAGCAUUCGCUCUCUCUUGAAGAGAGAAUGUGUGAACAACAUUUUGCAGAAACCACCGUCCGUAAUAGUGAUGGCGCGUUUGUUGUUAAAAUGCCUUUUAAGGAAGAUCCAAGCUCGCUAGGACAUUCUUAUGUUAAUGCUAGGAAUCGUUUCCUUUCCCUUGAGCGGCGAUUUAAGCAUGAUCCUUCCUUCCACAGUAAAUAUAAUGAUUUCUUGCGUGAGUACGAGCGCUUAGGUCAUAUGACAUUAGACACGGGCUGUACUCCUUCACCUGAAAAUUCCAAGACAAAAUAUUUCAGUCCACAUCAUGGAGUCAUUAGGGAUUCUAGCACCACUACUAAACUACGCGUAAUCUUCGACGCAUCAGCCCCUACAAGUACGGGAGUGUCGCUUAACGACAUUCAGAUGGUCGGUCCGGUAGUGCAAGACGAUCUGUUUUCCAUUUUAACACGUUUUCGUCAGCACAAGUACGUGGUCUCAGGUGACGUGGAGAAGAUGUAUAGAGGUAUCCAGCUCAGUCCAGACCAGCGCUCUCUUCAAAAAAUUGUUUUUCGUUUUGAUCCAUCAGAACCUCUCAGAUCUUACACAUUAAAUACAGUGACCUACGGUACUGCGUCUGCUCCUUAUUUAGCCACCAAAUGUUUGGUAAGUUUGGCCGAUAACAUUGAGGAUAAUCGGGUAAAGUGUGCCAUACAGCGCGACUUCUACGUCGACGAUUAUUUAAGUGGCGGGAGCACCAUAUCUGACACUGUAGAUGUAACAAAAGCAGUAAGAUCAGUUCUUUCAUCGGCUAAAUUUAAUUUACGAAAAUGGCGAUCAAAUAACAUAGAAAUUUUAAAACAAAUUAAUUCAGAAGUAGUAAAUAACAAUGAUAAUAACACUCUUCAAUUUUCUGAGCAUGGUCUCAACCCAGCUCAAUCUAAAACCCUAGGGCUUAAUUGGGUUUGUGAUUCUGAUUCACUCACUUACACAAUAAAUAUAACGUCUGCUAAUAAAGUCACUAAACGUCACAUCCUCUCUGUUAUCAGUCAGAUUUUCGACCCACUGGGCCUCGUAGGUCCGUGCGUUGUCGAGGCGAAAAUUCUAAUGCAGCGUCUUUGGCUGAAUAAAUACGACUGGGAUGAUGCAGUAUCGCUCGAGGUAAGGGACGCUUGGUCUUUGUUUGAGAGCACAAUAACGGCGUUAAAUUAUUUAAAGAUUCCUCGUUGCGUUUUGCAUGAAGACUCCAUUGCACACGAAGUACAUGUUUUUACCGACGCAUCCGAAAAGGCAUACGGCGCUUGUGUGUACAUUCGGUCAUGUAAUAGUGUUGGAGCCACAGGUGUACAACUUCUAGUUUCCAGAAACCGUGUUGCGCCCAUUAAACCUACUACCAUCCCGAGGCUUGAACUUUGUGGAGCAUUGUUGGGUGCAAGGCUGUGUACUAGGGUUCAGGAAUCUCUCACCAUCCCCAUUUCCAAGUGUAGAUUCUGGUGUGACUCCACUAUAGUUUUGGGUUGGCUCUCUACUCCUUCUAACCAGUUAAAACCUUUUGUUAGAAAUAGAGUAAAUGAGAUACAAGAGAGCACAUGUGGUCAUACCUGGAGCUACGUACCGUCGAAGGACAACCCGGCUGAUCUUGUUUCUCGUGGUCUCCGGGCCGAUAUUAUUAAGGAAACACCUCUGUGGUGGUCCGGACCUUCUUUUUUAUUACGUAAUGAAAGUGAAUGGCCCACAAUGCCAAACACUGAGAAGCAUGAUUUGCCGGAAGUAGUGACUCAUUUUAAUAUUAAUAGUAACGAUCAUUCACAUAAUGUUCAUCACACAGACGUAACCUCUCAUUCAUCUUUCAUUCAUAACUUGCUAUUAAAGUAUUCUAGCCUAACUAAAAUUCAAAGAAUAUUUACAUAUAUACAAAGGUUUAUUUACAAUUUAAAACACAAAAACAAUAAGUUGUGUGGCAAUCUUUCAUUGUUAGAACUAGAAAAUUCAUUAAAUGCAAUUAUUAAAUUCUCACAGCAACAAAUGUUCCCUGAAGAAUAUAAACUUUUAAAAAUCAAACAAAAAUUGCCACGCAAAAGUAGAUUACUUCCUUUGACGCCUUUCAUUGAUAAUCACGGACUUAUUCGCGUAGGCGGGAGGCUUGAUAACUCCCCCUAUGACUUCAACGUGAGGCACCCCAUUCUUUUAUGUAGUAAGCACAUUCUUACCAAACUUAUUUUUCAAAUGCAACAUUUAAAGCUUGCUCAUGCUGGUCCACAGCUGUUACUGUCGCACAUUCGACAAUCUUAUUGGCCGCUAGGUGGUAGAAGCUUGUCUAGAUUUAUUGUGAGUAAAUGUCUUAAAUGUUACAGGCAUAAAGCUCAAAAUGUGCAGCCUGUGAUGGGUCAACUACCAUCAUCUAGAACAAAUUUUGAGUUUCCUUUUUUAAAUUCUUAUGUUGACUAUGCCGGGCCUGUAUUGAUAGCCGACCGCAAAGGACGUGGUUGCAAACUAACAAAGGCCUACAUGUGCAUCUUUGUUUGUUCGGCAGUAAAAGCAGUACAUUUGGAGCUCGUCACAGACCUCACCACGGAGGCUUACAUGGCCGCUCUAAAUCGUUUCGUGGCGCGUCGAGGCAAGCCCCGAAGCAUCACGUCCGAUAACGGGACUAACUUCGUAGGCGCGUCUAAUGAAAUGACCAAAUUUCUUAAAGCAUCAAAUGUUGCAUCGAAAAUGGCGCAGGAGGGAAUCGAAUUUAUUUUCACGCCUGCAUACAGCCCUCAUUUUAAUUCACUUGCUGAAGCUGCUGUGAAAUCUUGUAAGCACCACCUGAAAAGAUUGCUUAGUCUUACACAUUUCACUUUUGAGGAACUGUCGACUUGUCUCACUCACAUAGAGGCAGUGUUGAAUUCACGCCCUCUUACACCUCUUUCUUCGGACCCUAACGAUUAUUCAGCACUCACACCAUCUCAUUUCCUAAUUGGACGACCACUCUUAUCUGUACCAUGCUCUCAGGUGACUGAUGCCAACAUCACGAGCCUGGAUCGCUGGAAGAGGAUCCAGUACAUCAGACAGCACUUCUGGGGACGCUUCCAUAAUGAGUACACUUCUCUGCUGCAGGCCAAGUCAAAGUGGUUAAAUUCCAGAGGCGAGGUGACACCAGGGUCCUUAGUCCUGAUCAAGGACAAGACGACGCCACCGCUGCUCUGGUCCCUGGGUCGGGUCACUAAGACCUAUCCCGGCGUCGACGGAGUCACGCGGGUGGCUGAGCUGAAGACGAGGAGGGGCACCAUUCGUCGUGCCUUCAACUGCAUCUGCCCGCUCCCUAUCGAAGACUUUUGAAGAGCAUCCUUCAACCCGGGGAGUAUGUCGGCGCACCUCAGCGAGCAACCGCGAUGGCGACCGAAGGGAGUGCUGCGGAGGCCGGGGCGGGGGCUGCCCCGGCUGGCGAGCCCGCGGCCGCGCUCCCUUCACUUCUCUCCGCGACGCGCUUGACCACGGGCACUUACCUGUUUUCUUGGUUUUUGUAAUUUUA
rnacentral:misc_RNA from 1 species